AAUACAGAGGGUGCGAGCGUUGUCCGGAAUCACUGGGCGUAAAGGGCGCGUAGGCGGCCUGAUAAGUCGGGGGUGAAAUCCUGUGGCUCAACCACAGGGCUGCCUCCGAGACUGUCGGGCUUGAGCACAGUAGAGGCAGGUGGAAUUCCCGGUGUAGCGGUGGAAUGCGUAGAGAUCGGGAAGAACAUCGGUGGCGAAGGCGGCCUGCUGGGCUGUUGCUGACGCUGAGGCGCGACAGCGUGGGGAGCAAACAGG
rnacentral:rRNA from 1 species